AGUGAACGCUGGCGGCAGGCCUAAUACAUGCAAGUCGAACGGCAGCACAGCAGAGCUUGCUCUGUGGGUGGCGAGUGGCGGACGGGUGAGGAAUACGUGGGAAUCUGCCCAGUCGUGGGGGAUAACGUAGGGAAACUUACGCUAAUACCGCAUGCGCCCUUCGGGGGAAAGCCGGGGACCUUCGGGCCUGGCGCGAUUGGAUGAGCCCACGUCGGAUUAGCUAGUUGGCGGGGUAAAGGCCCACCAAGGCGACGAUCCGUAGCUGGUCUGAGAGGAUGAUCAGCCACACUGGAACUGAGACACGGUCCAGACUCCUACGGGAGGCAGCAGUAGGGAAUAUUGGACAAUGGGCGCAAGCCUGAUCCAGCCAUGCCGCGUGAGUGAAGAAGGCCCUCGGGUUGUAAAGCUCUUUUGUCCGGAAAGAAAGCGCCGGGUUAAUACCCUGGUGUCCUGACGGUACCGGAGAAUAAGCACCGGCUAACUUCGUGCCAGCAGCCGCGGUAAU
rnacentral:rRNA from 1 species